UGCAUCACGUAUCAGUCAGUAUCGAUACGCUAGCCUACGCCUCGAUAGAUGAAUCCGUCACUGACGCUCGUACUUCACUGACUCUGAAGGCUCAUCAGUACGUAUCGUAGAUCGAAGAUCAGUUGCAAGACGCCCUGACGAAGCUUAGUCAGUCGCUAGCUCGAGCAGCAGACUAAUACCUGUAGUCCCGCGUAUCGACGUCUGACUGAGAUGUGACAUGAAGCCUCGCUCGAAGCUACGCGUAGUCGUUGCUAGAGAGUACGACGCAAGCUAAACUCAAUGAAUGACGGAAUCGACAGCGUCGAGCAUGUGAUUAUCGAUGCACGCGAAGAGCUACUGUCUGACAUCCACAAAGAUAUCAGAGAUGAGAAUGUGCUGCGGGAAGCCGUGAGACAGGUGCUGCAUAGCUGUCGUCAGCUCAUGUAAUGAAAUGUUGUGUUCAGUCCCGCAACGAGCGCAACCCUUAUCCUUUGUUGCCAGCGGUCCGACCGGGAACUCAAAGGAGACUGACAGUGAUAAACUGGAGGAAGGUGGGGAUGACGUCAAGUCAUCAUGGCCUUACGACCAGGGCUACACACGUGCUACAAUGGCGCAUACAAAGAGAAGCGACCUCGCGAGAGCAAGCGGACCUCAUAAAGUGCGUCGUAGUCCGGAUUGGAGUCUGCAACUCGACUCCAUGAAGUCGGAAUCGCUAGUAAUCGUGGAUCAGAAUGCCACGGUGAAUACGUUCCCGGGCCUUGUACACACCGCCCCUCUUACGCUCGAGUGGGUGCAAAAGAAGUAUAUAGCGUGACUUCGCGAGGCGCUUAUAGAGUUGA
rnacentral:rRNA from 1 species